rnacentral:rRNA from 1 species
GACGAACGCUGGCGGCGUGCUUAACACAUGCAAGUCGUACGGUAAGGCCCUUUCGGGGGUACACGAGUGGCGAACGGGUGAGUAACACGUGAGUAACCUGCCCACAACUUUGGGAUAACGCUAGGAAACUGGUGCUAAUACUGGAUAUGUGCUCCUGCUGCAUGGUGGGGGUUGGAAAGCUCCGGCGGUUGUGGAUGGACUCGCGGCCUAUCAGCUUGUUGGUGGGGUAGUGGCCUACCAAGGCGGCGACGGGUAGCCGGCCUGAGAGGGUGACCGGCCACAUUGGGACUGAGAUACGUCCCAGACUCCUACGGGAGGCAGCAGUGGGGAAUAUUGCACAAUGGGCGCAAGCCUGAUGCAGCAACGCCGCGUGCGGGAUGACGGCCUUCGGGUUGUAAACCGCUUUCAGCAGGGACGAAGCUUUUUGUGACGGUACCUGCAGAAGAAGCACCGGCUAACUACGUG